CCUCUCUCCCUUUCCUAUGAAAUGAUAUAUAAUCUCCGCUUGAUUUGUUCGUUUGCCUUGUUAUGCUUGUUGAUAGAAGCCUCAAAUUAGGGAUUUCAGGAGAUUGUGAUUGUGAUUUGGGGUUCAUGUGUCAAAGUGAGAGUUUUUAUAUGAAUAAUAAGAGUUGCCUGGGAAGCCAUACCGUUCGUAUUCAUUGUCUAGCACAGAUUUUUUGAAGUUUUUGGUUCAAAGUCAUGAACUUGAGUAGGCAUACUAGGCAGGAGUCAUAUCUCUUUUAAUGUUAUCUGUGUGCUUGUCUUUUGUGGGGAGAUGAAAAAAAAAAUCAGAUUAUCUAGCUUGGGGGAGAAUAUGGGUAGGAGAUUCAUUGUUAUAGUGUUUUGUUUUACUUAAUUUUGUAGCUCCUUCUGCUGACUGUUUAGUAUCUUGCUUGGUGAAUUUUCUUUGUUCUCUUUGAGACCUGAUGUCUAUCUUAUUGCGAGGUGUGUUGUUAUGGAAAAUUGAUACAUCUUAUUUUUCUUGUUUGAUGUUAUGAAGCCUUCAUUCAACUGCAUUGCGUAUCUUCUUUUAAUGGGAAUGUAAUGAUGCUGAGCUUAUACGUUUGAUGUCUUUAGGCCCCAAACGCUAUCCCUACUCAUAUCACGACAAGGAACCCUGGGUUCUCAAAACAUCAAUCACCGAGACGAGAAAGUUUUAGAUGCAUUUCGAGAGAGAUGAUUGAUAGCUUUAUAAGUCGUUUGUCUAGAUUGGCUCUAAAUUAUGCUGAGUAAAGUAUUAGCGAACUAGCAUUUUGACCAAAAAAAAAAAAAA